rnacentral:rRNA from 1 species
CAAAUUUGAAAGCUGGCUCCUUCGGGGUCCGCAUUGUAAUUUGUAGAGGAUGCUUCGGGAGCGGUCCCCAUCUAAGUGCCCUGGAACGGGACGUCAUAGAGGGUGAGAAUCCCGUAUGGGAUGGGGUGUCCGCGCCCGUGUGAAGCUCCUUCGACGAGUCGAGUUGUUUGGGAAUGCAGCUCUAAAUGGGUGGUAAAUUUCAUCUAAAGCUAAAUAUUGGCCGGAGACCGAUAGCGCACAAGUAGAGUGAUCGAAAGAUGAAAAGCACUUUGAAAAGAGAGUUAAAAAGCACGUGAAAUUGUUGAAAGGGAAGCGCUUGCGACCAGACUCGCUCGCGGGGUUCAGCCGGCAUUCGUGCCGGUGUACUUCCCCGCGGGCGGGCCAGCGUCGGUUUGGGCGGUCGGUCAAAGGCCCUCGGAAGGUAACGCCCCUAGGGGCGUCUUAUAGCCGAGGGUGCAAUGCGACCUGCCUAGACCGAGGAACGCGCUUCGGCUCGGACGCUGGCAUAAUGGUCGUAAACGACCCGUCUUGAAACACGGACCAAGGAGUCUAACAUCUACGCGAGUGUUCGGGUGUCAAACCCGUGCGCGAAGUGAAAGCGAACGGAGGUGGGAACCCUCACGGGUGCACCAUCGACCGAUCCUGAAGUCUUCGGAUGGAUUUGAGUAAGAGCGUAGCUGUUGGGACCCGAAAGAUGGUGAACUAUGCCUGAAUAGGGCGAAGCCAGAGGAAACUCUGGUGGAGGCUCGUAGCGGUU